UUUCCCCCCUUCAGCAUUAACCCUAAUUUUGAUUUCCCCCCUUAUCUUUCUCUCCAAACUCCAAUCGGCAGGUCGACGGCCUUCCCCCUUUAUGCUUCUCUCUCUCAGAUGUCUCUCUUCUCUUCUCUUCUCUCUCUGACCAUCUAGCUUUAUUCUCUUCUCUCUGUCCAAUAUUCUCUCUCGUUGUCUCUCUUCUCUGUCCGGCUCUCUCUUCUCUUCUCUGUAGUUGUCUCUCUUCUCUUUAUCCUCUUGUUUUCUUGUUUUUCUUCUUCACUUUGUGUUGGAGUAGCCCUGUGCCUAGAGGGAGUGGCCUUUUUUGGCAGAAGCUUGAGGUUCAUCAGAAGCACUUAAAUCGACUCAACAAGCCCCCCAUCAAAUCCAUUCAGAGCCCAGAUGGGGAUACCAUUUACUUUAUUCCAAUCUCACAUCAGCCUGCUUUUGAACACCUUCUCCUUAAGGAUCAGAAUAUCUAGGCCCCCUUUUUAAUUUUUGAGAAAAUGUGCUUAAAGAGAUGACAUUUUGAGAGCAAGCUCAGUUAAAGAUAUGAUAAAAAGAAGCAUAGAUUUCUUUAUUUAUUUUCAUCCCCCUCAUCUCUCUCUCUCUGUUCUGUUUUUUUGUAAGGGGGGCUAUUUUAUUGUUUAGUUUUGACUUUCCGGAGUAGCUGCCUUGUUUGAAUCUGCCGGAAUGAUGCUCCUCCACCAGAAUCCAGGAGGAGCUCUAGAUGCUGCUGCUGUUGUAUUGCUCACUCUUUUCACUCCCUCUAGCCGCACCUCUUCUUCAUUUCUGCCGUCAGAUGAACAAAAAGCUGCUCUAUGGGGGCCUCUGGCCAACCAAGGAUGGAAAGCAUGUGUCGAUUCAGCUACUGGCCCUAGUAUUAAAUGGAGUUGUCGUCAAGAAGACAACAAAUACGGAGUAGAUCUUAAAGCCCUAUUGUCUAACACUAGGAGUUAUUAUUUUUCUUGCAACAAUUAUGGAGGUCAAACUCCAAUAAGCUGCUCUAUCUUGCAAAGGGCUUUCUGUUGGCUUCUAUCUACUCUAUAUAGGCUCUUGUUAAUUGUGUGAAACAAAUUUUUGUAUGUGAUUGUACGUUGUUACUAUAGUUGGUAAUAAAAACUUUUGUUACUAAUUUAUGGCUUGUUAAUUAUAUUCUUCAGCAUGAUU